rnacentral:lncRNA from 1 species
GAGGAUGACACCAAAGCACGUGGUCACCUGCUGAGACGUGGAUACAUCCCAUUCGCACUAAGCACCUACAGCUGUGCUUUGGCGAAGACUAUACAUUGAAGACCUCGGGGAAGUUUCCCGAUGUCCUCGGUGAGGCAAAUGAUAUCUACCGACAUCCCACUGUGAAAGAUGAAGAAUCAGUUCACUUAUACUAAUCCCACCCUCCUAGCCCAUCUCUUUCCCAGCAAGCCUGUGGCGGCGGCGGUGGUGGUGGCGGAACGUGAUCAAUUGCUCGACGCUCUUCUAUUGAGCCCUCACCUAUACAUCAGCUUUGUCUCCUAC